rnacentral:lncRNA from 1 species
AUUAUUAGUUGCAAGUGUUGUUAAUUUGUUUUUCUUGAGCCUGCUUUCUCUCUCCUGUGUGAACCCUGGUUCCCGUGGAGCGGGUGUUGAGGUUACUAUGGUAAUCCAAGCCCAUAAUAGUUCAGUCUUUUCCUUUAAAAGGCUGAUGCCUGCCUGCAACAAACAUCGCCUUGAUCAGACUCUUGUCUUGGUGUCCUUCCUUUCUCUCUGCCCCAUCUCCACCCCGCUGCUCUUUCAGGUUUUUGUUUUUUCAGCUUUAAUUGAGUUUAUUGGUACAUUUUAGGGAUGCAGUACAGUUACAUUCAUUGUUGGGAUCAUGUACCUCUUUCAGGUUUGAGACACUGUUGGACAGUGCUCUGCGUCGCCGGCUCGCGACAAGUGGCACCCGAACAGGGACCUGAAAUUGAAGCGCGAUUGGUGAGUAAUCAGAAGCCUGCUGUCAAAAAGGACUCGGCUGAGUCGAAACAAGGAGGACACCGCUGUCUGAAACGCCCGGCGGGGAAAAUCCUCAGAGAAGCAGGUUUGAGGCACUGUUGGACAGUGCUCUGCGUCACCGGCUCGCGAC